rnacentral:snRNA from 1 species
AUCGCUUCUCGGCCUUUUGGCUAAGAUCAAGUGUAGUAUCUGUUCUUAUCAGUUUAAUAUCUGAUACGCCCCCGAUUCGGGGGCAACGUAUUAAAUGCAUUUUUAGAACAGGGAGCUGAAUAAGGGGCUCGCUCCGUUCGCUCCACGCAUCGACCCGGUAUUGCAGCGCCUCCGGGAACGGUGCCCCCUUU